UAACGCGUGAGGAACCUGCCUCAAAGAGGGGGACAACNGUUGGAAACGACUGCUAAUACCGCAUAAGCCCACGACCCGGCAUCGGGAAGAGGGAAAAGGAGCAAUCCGCUUUGAGAUGGCCUCGCGUCCGAUUAGCUAGUUGGUGAGGUAACGGCCCACCAAGGCGACGAUCGGUAGCCGGACUGAGAGGUUGAACGGCCACAUUGGGACUGAGACACGGCCCAGACUCCUACGGGAGGCAGCAGUGGGGAAUAUUGCACAAUGGGGGAAACCCUGAUGCAGCGACGCCGCGUGGAGGAAGAAGGUCUUCGGAUUGUAAACUCCUGUUGUUGAGGAAGAUAAUGACGGUACUCAACAAGGAAGUGACGGCUAACUACGUGCCAGCAGCCGCGGUAAAACGUAGGUCACAAGCGUUGUCCGGAAUUACUGGGUGUAAAGGGAGCGCAGGCGGGCGAUCAAGUUGGAAGUGAAAUCCAUGGGCUCAACCCAUGAACUGCUUUCAAAACUGGUCGUCUUGAGUAGUGCAGAGGUAGGCGGAAUUCCCGGUGUAGCGGUGGAAUGCGUAGAUAUCGGGAGGAACACCAGUGGCGAAGGCGGCCUACUGGGCACCAACUGACGCUGAGGCUCGAAAGUGUGGGUAGCAAACAGGAUUAGAUACCCUGGUAGUCCACACCGUAAACGAUGAUUACUAGGUGU
rnacentral:rRNA from 1 species